rnacentral:snRNA from 1 species
GCCGCCUUCGUGGCGUACUGCGA